AGAAUCGUAUACGCCAGGCGCAUAACUUGCAACGUGAGCCAUGUAUCGGUUCUCCAGAAGAGAAUCGCGUGUGCCGAUGCGUUUCACGUCCGAUUAACGCGCAUAAGCUGUAAAACUCGGCAUCUGGCCGUCGACUUUCUACUUUCCUCUCGUCGAAUUACCGGGACACUGAUGGGUGGCCCACCGGUUUGGUUCCCUGCGGCAUCACUUCUCGUCGAACCGGUCACGACCAAACCAAUAACCGAAUUGCAACGAAAGUGCUUCCAGUGAUUUUCGCGCAGGAUCGAGGACGAACGAAAGGACCUGGGCUCUUUACACGUAAACCAAUGCACAGAAUCGAGGACGCUAGAGUCCCCACCGUUUUGCAACUUCAGCUGCGACGCUGCACUGCAGCAAGUGCCUCGAUUGCAGCGUCUAUAGUCCGCGUCCUUAACGUAACAAAGGAGAAUGUUAAAAAAAUGGUCAUUUUUCUAUCUUCUUGCGAACGAAAAAUUCUAGGAAAGCAUUGAAGAACGUGUCUCAAAGAACGAUACACGUUACUAGCAUACUGGCGUAGCUACGAUAACUUACGUUAUCUGAAAUAUGAUGGGGAAGUUGAAAAGAAUGAGAGCAAAGCUGAAAAAGUGGCAGCGAUCUAACUUAUCUAUGCGUUACACUUAAUCUUCGUUUCCUUCAAAUUCUGAACCAGUUACAGAAUAAUUUUCAUCUAUCUCGACAUGAUAAUUUUUCGGAAAUUCGAUUGAUAAAUCAAUGGAUGUUCGAAAUCCAGUAAAUAUGAAGUACCUUCUAUUCGUUGCUACGUGAGAAGAAUAUUACCGUACGUACGUACUUCGAAUUUGGCCGAUUCCA
rnacentral:misc_RNA from 1 species